rnacentral:rRNA from 1 species
CCUACGGGAGGCAGCAGUGAGGAAUAUUGGGCAAUGGACGAGAGUCUGAACCAGCCAAGUAGCGUGAAGGAUGACUGCCCUAUGGGUUGUAAACUUCUUUUAUAUGGGAAUAAAACGUUCCACGUGUGGGAUUUUGUAUGUACCAUAUGAAUAAGGAUCGGCUAACUCCGUGCCAGCAGCCGCGGUAAUACGGAGGAUCCGAGCGUUAUCCGGAUUUAUUGGGUUUAAAGGGAGCGUAGGUGGAUUGUUAAGUCAGUUGUGAAAGUUUGCGGCUCAACCGUAAAAAUGCAGUUGAAACUGGCAGUCUUGAGUACAGUAGAGGUGGGCGGAAUUCGUGGUGUAGCGGUGAAAUGCUUAGAUAUCACGAAGAACUCCGAUUGCGAAGGCAGUUCACUGGACUGCAACUGACACUGAGGCUCGAAAGUGUGGGUAUCAAACAGGAUUAGAUACCCCUGUAGUC